CGCGAAUAGCUCAUUACAACAGCCAUAGUUUAUUGGAUGUUUACGUUCCUACAAGGACACCUGCGGUAAUUCUGGAGCUAAUACUUGCGAAAUGCGACAACCUCACGGGAGUCGUGCAUUUAUUAGAUUAAACCAAUCGGUCCUUCGGGACCGCCAUUUGGUGAACUCUGAAUAACUUAGCUGAUCGCACAGUCUCGUACUGGCGACAAAUCUUUCAAGUGUCUGCCUUAUCAACUUUCGAUGGUAGUUUAUACGACUACCAUGGUUGUAACGGGUAACGGAGAAUAAGGGUUCGACUCCGGAGAGGGAGCCUGAGAAACGGCUACCACAUCCAAGGAAGGCAGCAGGCGCGCAAAUUACCCACUCGCAGAACGCGGAGGUAGUGACGAAAAAUAACGAGGUGGCUCUCUAUGAGGUCCAUCAUCGGAAUGGGUACAAUUUAAAUCCUUUAACGAGGAUCUAUUGGAGGGCAAGUCUGGUGCCAGCAGCCGCGGUAAUUCCAGCU
rnacentral:rRNA from 1 species